rnacentral:misc_RNA from 1 species
GCCGCUAGCUGCUACUUCGCGAUUGCUCUCUUUUCAUACAGAGAGCAGAUUCGUCGCUUAGUUAGUUAAUGUGCAAAGUGGAAUUUGAUUGCGUGUUUUUUUCAGUGCCUUUGAAUGCCUAGAGACUGUGAUUGGAUCAUGUUAGAGAUUCUGAUUUGAAUUGUACGAGAUUCCCUUUUGCUUCUAUAAUAGAUUCGGAAUAGAUUGUGGUUAGGUUUGGACAAGAUUCAGUAUGAGGAUAAUUGUAUGCACAAAACUGUUCAGAUAUGCAUAUUUGUAGUAAAUGGAAUGUACUUCUAUGUACUAAUGAGUAAAGUUAAGAUAAGUUCAGCGUCAAGAUGUCUGUCACUUUAUAGUGACAGAUUAUUUUGGCACAUCACGUAUCCUCUAAAAAAAUAUACUAAACCAAUCACAUAAAUCAAAAUCAAUCACCCU